rnacentral:rRNA from 1 species
UACGUAGGGUGCGAGCGUUGUCCGGAAUUAUUGGGCGUAAAGAGCUUGUAGGCGGUUUGUCGCGUCUGCUGUGAAAGCCCGGGGCUUAACCCCGGGUCUGCAGUGGGUACGGGCAGGCUAGAGUGUGGUAGGGGAGACUGGAAUUCCUGGUGUAGCGGUGGAAUGCGCAGAUAUCAGGAGGAACACCGAUGGCGAAGGCAGGUCUCUGGGCCACUACUGACGCUGAGAAGCGAAAGCGUGGGGAGCGAACAGGAUUAGAUACCCUGGUA